CGCUAGACGUUUGCGAUUUUGUGCCGAAUUGAAGGUCGCGGCGGCCAUCUUGGUACGCGCGACUUUCUGCUUGCGGAUGCAGUGAGUGGGUUGGAAUCGCCGUUUCGAUGGUGCAAAAUGUAAGAUAAUUUGAGGAAAUUCAUCGUUCUGCGCGUUGAAAUGGAUUUUCACGCUAUUGUUGUUGGUUCAGCCAUUAACUUGGAAAAGGAUAACACGAAACGUGUAUGCAUAGAGGUUGAAGAAUCAAGUUUUGGAAACCAGGUGAAAGUGUGAAGUGAAUCAAGUCAUUUGUUGCCUACUCCUGAAGUGUCUCCAGUUUCUUCAAUUAACCAGCUUUUAUACUAGUUUCAAUACACAGCACAAAGCACAUUCAUUUCAUUUCUGCAUUGUUUAUAAUUUGUAAUGCAAUUAAAACUUAAAAAAAGUUUGCAA